rnacentral:sRNA from 1 species
GCCACGAUUGAGCAUAGCAUGGACUUUUGAUCGUUCGACAUUUUGACUUUUUUUAUUUUUUUAUUUCUCUUCCUAUUUUACUUCAGUAGCGAAGCAGUUGUCUCGCGGCAGGGCAACGUUCUUAGGUUCAAACUUGAAACCUUCCCUUUCGUCACAGAAACGUCUUUUAAUUUUCCAACCUUUUCCGACUUAUCCUCAGUCCUAGUACUGAUAUGCGCUGUUCACACCACCGAUUCUUUCCCUUUUUUUUUUUUAUCUAAAUAAAUAUUGACCCGUUCUGGUUCGGUGGUGGUCGGCAAUUCCGGAUUUGUGUCCAUUUCGGCGCUCUGGGUGCAACAUAGCCGAGUCAGCAGUUUACAGGUUGCGGCAGUCAGACGGCGCAAAACGCUGGAAUAGACCUUCUUUGUCGUUACGGGAUCCUUCUGACGGACAACUUGUUCUCUUUCGUCGCUGUUUCUGUCUGGGGGGCGCAAAAUUAGGGGUUAUCACAGAAUAUAGAAUAUACGGGUUUCGGUGCCUUGACGAGAUCGGAGAAGGCAAAGAUGAUAGAUCAUGUCCUGGGGAGGCCGUCGACCCAGUUUCGCAAGAUACAGGUCUUCGCCGUUGUGUCAUUUUGGUCCUUAUAUCUCCUACGGGGCAACAAUCAUGGUCCACCGGGCAUUCGCCUCCUAUCUUCCCGCUUGUACAAGCGAGUCACUCCCUGGCAGGCCACCGUCGUGACCUUUCUGUGGCUGUAUGUGUCACGGAAUUUUGCCAAGUUAACGGGCCUCGAGUCUCCAGAGCCGCUCGCGAAUCUAUAUUCCAGAUCCUACUUCCGCGCCACUUGGGUAACCACGGCGCUGGAUGCCGGGUUCUGGACGGCCAUGAAUAUCAAGAGAAAGUGGCUGCGGGAUAUAGCGUCCAUCGUCUUCUCAAUUUACUAUCUCAUUGCCGCGGAGCAUGCGGAUGAGAAGGUUCGGAAAGUUAGGGCUGUGUUGACGGUGGAGCACCUGCGAGUGUCGUGGAAUAAGGCUACGACACCGUACCUGUCGUUCCUCGGAAAGCUUAUGCGCCCGCGCCUAAUGGGCUAUGCGCCGGUUCAGAUUCGGAUUCCGAGGCCGAAAGAAUCGUCGUACAGGGAUCCGUGCAUUGCAUGGCUCUAUUAUAACGGCCCGCUUAGUACGCUGAAGAACCAUACUAAUAUCGUUCUGGAUAUCCCCGGUGGCGGGUUUGUGGCCAUGGGCCCGCGGAUGAGUGAUGACAAGCUCCUAGCCUGGGCCGCUAGGACGGGCGUGCCGGUCCUGAGCUUGGAUUACAAGAAGGCGCCUGAAUAUCCAUAUCCGUACGCCCUGAAUGAGUGCUACGACGUUUACCACACCAUCGUCAGUAGUCGUGGCCGUUGUAUCGGGCUAAGUGGUAAAGUCAGUCCUAAAAUUGUCAUUACGGGUGACAGCGCUGGCGGCAACUUGGCUGCUGGCGUCACACUGAUGGUUCUCCAGUCAGGGAGCACGGAUUCACGGAAAAGACGCGGAGAGAACUCGCUACCCCCUCCUGUUGGCCUAGUGCUCAUUUACCCGUCAUUAGAUAUGAACAUAGGUAGCUGGAUGACGGAUGAGGAGAUGUCCUUAAUUCGGGAGCGGGGAAUGCGAGAGACGAAUUGCAAUGUCCUCCGAAAGAAAAGUGAGGAUUAUCGCAAGUUAGCCUCCGCUUCCUCCCAAGUAUCAACCCUCCGCGACGAUUCCCUAGAACACCCGGUCAUCCACGACUAUUUCGCCCAGCAGCACGCCGGGGUAAUUCAUGAAGACCAUGAACCAGUGAUUGACACCGAAAGCAUCGACAAACCCGUUCCAGGAAACACUGCCUCCCAAGUCGUGGCCACAGCCGACAAGCACCCCGGACAGAUCGAAACACGUCUCGCUGUCUCUUCCAUGAUUUCCUACUUCAACGAUCGCAUCCUAUCUCCCGAGAUGAUGCGUGCUACUAUAAUCCUCUACAUCGGCCCAUACAACCGUCCAGACUUCAGCUCAGACUUCCUCCUCUCCCCGCUCCUUGCGCCGGAAGCGCUUCUGGCACGCUUUCCCAAAACCUACUUCUUAACCGGGGAACGAGACCCGCUGGUCGACGACACGGUGAUUUUCGCAGGGCGAAUCCGCCAGGCGAAACUGCGUCGAUUCCGCGAACGACAGGAGCUGGGACUUGAGAGAUCCAUGGGAACAUUCGACGAAAAAGCGCACGUGGAAGUGUCUCUGAUUCCAGGCAUUUCGCAUGGAUUUCUGCAGUUCCCUGCCUUGUUUCCCGAAGGGUGGAGGCAGAUUUUCCGCUGCUCGCGAUGGAUUAAGAAACUGUUUGCACAUGUCGCCGAAGAUGGCACUGUGAUCGAAGGAGAUCUUACGGCGUCAUCCAUCAUGUCUCGUCGGCGACAAGGGAAUGGCAGCUCAGAGACAUUCAGAAGAGUCAACUCCGUAUCGUCAACGACAUUGGUAGUGUCGGGAAAACCAGGAACUAUCCGAAAAGGCACAGGGGAUGGUACUGGAUCACAGGAUCACAAUCGAGGGUUGACGGGGGACUCAUCGGGCGACGAAGAUAGGCCGUUGGAAAUGACCAGGCUGAACAUGAGCAAGCGGCCACCAGUUUCCACAGGAACUUCUCGGUCCUCCUUGCGCUCCUCACCGUCCUCCGCUCGAUCAACAGCGGAUGGUUCCCUAUUACAACCAAAAGCCUACACACCAACGUACCUAGAAACCUCAGCGGGUUCUCUUGAACCAUCCUCUUACCUCUCCCUAGACCCCGUCGCUCUCCCGGAAGGAGGAACUGGUUCUGAUAAGACAACCCCCAGCCGCUACCCUAAACCUCCAAACGGCGCUGAGAGGCACAAGCAAUCCCCGCAACAAAACGGGGACAUAGCACAGCCAAGCCCCACCUUUAAGUUUCCCCAGCUCAGCACCAGUAAUGGAAACCGUGCACGCAGCAGUAGCUAUAAUUACAACUCAACCCAUCGCGAAAAGAACGACUUCGCUGAAAAUGAAGACGUUGUCCAUUCGUGGCGCAAGCAUAUGACGAAAAUGUCUCGGCGUCGUGACGAGAGCCUGACAAGCUUGCCCAGCGAAGAGGAUUUGUUGGGCAGGCGGAUGAACGGGUUGGCGGGCGGGUUGUUGGGUAUGGGAGAGGGGGUGAGGACGCCAUAGGAGGUUUUCUGAGUGAGUAUGGAGUAGUUAACUAACUAACGGGUUAGUUAACUAGUCGUGAUGCGAAUGUUGUCUAACGCGCUAGGCGGUUGAUUCCCUUGUUGUCAUUGGUGGGACGGUUUUCUUCGUUGGCUUGUCGAGUAACUAACCAACUACUUGACUUGUUUGUAUGAGAACAUCAGUUGGCAUGUACGGUAGUUAGGUUUGCCUGUGUAUUAGCUGUAUUUGCCUGUGUAUUGCUAUAUGAACUCGGGGAAUAGAAUAGAAUACAUAUGCGAGCCAUUAUUAAGAAUGAGAAAUUAAAAUCAUGUUC